AUCUUUAGUUUCUUCCUACUGAGAUUUUGCUUAGGGAUGCCGGAUGAGCACGGUUCUUAGACAGAAUCGAGAACCGGAGGUCCAGUUCGGUUUUCAGCUCUAGAAAGGAGGUUCUGGUUCUCGGAACCGGAAUCGGAAUUCCUACACGUAAAAACUCUAAUUUUGCUUCAAUCUUCUGUGUUCUUCACUUUCCCUUUUUUUCUUUUCCUCUCUGCAACGCUCCGCCCCCGACGACCCCAUGCUGCUCGCCGCCCUCGACGCGGCCGUCACGACCCACGACGUCGCCGCCGACACCGCCGCCGCUCCUUUUGACGACGCUGCCGACUCUCGCCGUCGCGGGUGCUGCCUCCCAACGACAAGCUGCUACCGGGCUGCCACCGCGACGCUGCUAUUGUUCCACCGUCGGCAGUCCUCAACCUCGCCCACUUCUCCGAUCUCUCCCGGCUCCCCGAUCACGUCCUCCUCGAUCUCUUCUUCGCGGAAAGGUCGGAGCUUGAGCCGGGGUCGGCCUUUGUUUGGGCUUUAGAAAUGAUGGGCAGUCGAUGGUUUUGGGGAUGUGGUCGAAUCGGUGUUGAACGGGGAUUGCCCUGGAAAGAUUUGGGUCGUGAUCUUGUUAGGCAUUUGCUUCCGUUUGAUCGGUAAAAGUGCCUAUGAGGGGUUUGUGGAAAUUGAUUUAUGUGAGAGCUGCUAAUUGUUGGGUUCACUCUUAUGAGAGAGAUCUGAUGAAGAUGGAAAGAGUCUAUUACGCUGACUGAAUUUUUGUGUCGUAGGAAGUAGAUGAUUUCAUGGGUAUGUCUAGAUUGCAAAUGUUAUGCAGCAUUUGUCAUAUCUAUGUUAUGAUAAUUAGCUUCUAUUAUGUAGUUCUGUUCUGUGAAGGAGAAAAACAGAGAUCUCAUCUUCUCUGUUAAGAUCAAAUUGGCUCCGAUUGAGUUCACUUCGUUGAUUGCAUAUGUCCUGAAUUGACUGUGUACGAAACCUGGUCUUA